UUCAAAUGGUGCUUUUAUUGCAAUGUGUUGCAUUCCCACAUUCAUAGAUGUUAUAGAUUUGUUAGUCAAAGCAUCAUUUCCUCAAGGUUGGCAUCCUCACCUUGGAAAAAAAGCAGAGGGAUCAAAUGCACGAGGUGUUUGUGUUUUGAGUGUAGUAGAGAAGUGUGUGUGUGUGUGUAAACUUGAGCAGCCACGAACAUAUGAAUGAACAAACCUCCAAAUUUUAGACUUCCAGUAGAUGCAAAUAGAGUUUUUAAUUGUCAAACAAACAAAAACAAAAAAAGAAAAGAAAGAAAAGAAAGUUUUGUUUGUCUGUUAGCCUACAGGGCUCUCACUCCCUGCAGGGACUGGACCCGGCCUGAGACUGAUUGUCUACAACAUUCCAAAGAAAAGGUAGAUUUCUUUAUAUUCACGUUACACACCUGAAGAGGAGGGGCUGAGGGGCAUUAAAAGAGACAAAGAGAGAAGAGGAGGAGAAAAUAUAACAUGCAUAAAAUUCUCCCAGAUGAACAUUGUCACUCAUAUUGUCUUGUAAUAGCUGCUCCGAUGCCUCUUUAAAAACAAACUUUACAUGAGUGUAAUAUACAAAACUGGACAAAAUGAGUAAAAUGUAUAAUAUAUAUUUAUAUAUAUAUUUAUUUAUAUUAAUUUGUACAAGGGAGAAAGUGGAACCUUGGUCUUUAUUUUAACUGAAAUUCUCCAGAGAAAGCAUCAACGCCCCCCAAAAACAACAGAGUGGUGAGUAAAUUACAAGCCUAUGAACCAUGUCCAACCUCAGACCCAAUAAGGCAGCGCUUACAAUACCUGACAGCUGAUAGCGUGGUAGUUUUUUUAAAAGUUUUGAACACCUCCAUUAGGAAUGAGUUGGAGUUAUAAAAACUACAGACAGUCUUGGACCUGGUUUCCACCGAACCACCAAUUUAGUAGGUAGAAUUACACGGCAGAAGGUGGGAUACUUUCCAUGAGAAGGAAAUAACAGGAGACAUAUUUACUAGGAAUUUCUUGUGGUAGCCUCUCCCAUGGGUUUGGGAGCAGGAAUCUUCCUAUCUUAGGAUAAGGCUCACACAGGACUAGAGGACGGCUGGAAAACUGCUGGCAACCACCAAUUGCUAGGGGUGAAAAAAAGAAAAAAGUAUUCCCCAACUGGGUGGUGAGUGAUUGGUGGAGAUUUGCACCAAAAACUUGCUCAUAGUUUACAUGGAAGACACAGACUCGUCUACAAGCUACUGAGAGAGCGGUAGAGAGACAUGAAAACAUGCAACACAAGCCGGAAACGGAACACCUGCCUUGAAAUUAAAAGCUGCACCUUAUCACUACAACCACCAUGUUUCAAAAGGUGCAACUUUUACUUUGAAGGCAAAGGUCUGCGUUGCUGGUUUGUGUUGCACUCUUCACAGUUUCACUAACUUUUGGAGAGUAGUUCAAGUCUUCCAUGCAAAUUACACGCGACUGCAACAAUCUGGUAGCAAUCAAAGUAAUUGCAAGGUUUUCGGAGCAGUACCACCUCAAUACAGCUAAUUACACCUCCACAAACCACCUGCCAACCAGCUGGAGAGUAAAGAUUUUUCCCUAGCAACCUGUGGUUGUCAGGGUGUCACCAACCGGUCUCUAGGCCUGUUUAACUGAGGCUUCAGGCACCUGAACUGUUUUGGUGGAAAAGAGGUACAAGUGGUGCACAAAUGUUGGACCAAUGACGAGUGAGAACACGUAUAAGCUGAUAAAAGCCUACUUUUGCUUUGUGGAAUAAAAUGUUAAAGGUCGUGAACGUGGCUACCCGCAGCAGACAUUAGAUGGAACCCGCUAAAUACUCAACAUCAGGCAGCACAAAAAACGUGAGGCAAGCAAAACACGAGGGACAGUUAGUGUGCUGUCAUUUAUGUCAGGUCACCACUGUAGCUUAGACAGAAAACACAGCUGCAUUAAUGACACCUACAAAGCAGUGAAGAGAAAGAAAAGGAAAGCGAAUGGCAAAGAGUUUGGCGAAAGUGGUCAUGAGCAGGAAUGUUCUGCGAAUCGAGCUGAGGGAGGUUUUUAACAGUACGCCUGGGGAUGGACGUCACCCGAAGAUGAUUAGCAUAGUAUUCACACUGAGGAUCGGUUGGUGCAAGUCAGAGAAAGACACAGACAGGAGUUUUUGGGAUAAUGGGUAUCCACUACGGGCAAGUUCUUCACAAAGAACCUGAGAAGUUGUUUAGGUUCAAAUUAAAGACUAACUCUUCUCGGUACAUUCAGGGGACACGUCCUAUCUCUGAAUACUGAUCUGAUUGAGACAGUUACUGAUGGCCUUUUCACUCCAAGUAAAUCUGAUAUAAAGUGCAAAAUUAGAUUGUAUUUGCAAAUUCCUGGAAUAAUCUGAUUAAACUUCUACGUGUGUAAAAAAGUCAUUUCUUUAUACAGUAUUUUUUUUAUAAAGUUGAAAAAAGGUUUUUAAAAAAACCCUGGUUAACAAGGUUAUUACUGUUAAACAGCAAAGGAGCAAUCUUUACUGCAGAAAGUAUAUACACGAGGCACCUCAAGUUUGGUAUAAAGUAUUCAGUUGAUGGAAAACCAAAAACAAAAAAGAAGAAGUGAAGGUCAUCAGGUAUCGAGUGGGCUUUUUUAAAAUUAUUUUGUUGUGACUGUAAAUAUCUAUGAAAUGAAAUGCUCCAGUGUUAACUCUACAAGGUGAGGAAAUGCUUGUUUCAGUAAGGUGCAUAGCUAAGGGUUGCAAUGUUUUUUUUUCUCUUCCUGUAAACGAGUGAUAGCACUUCAGGCUCAAAAGACCUCAUUGGCAAAAAGUGGAGACGUCUCGAAAAACUGACCUAACUUUGGGACAUCACACAGCUCGCUGCUGAUAGGCCACAGGAGGGACGAACACGCAGAGCAGCAGCAGAGAAAUCCAAAUAAAGGGGGCCGCUACAUUAUGUUGUGUCCAGUGACGAUGAGGUUUGCAUAUGAGUCCAUGAAACGUGUUGAAGCUUUGGUCAUUUACUACCGAUGAAUGCAAGAAGAAGAAGAAGAAGAAGAGAGGCUACAUCAGUCAGACAGUUAGAAAGAAAUAAAACAUCCAGCUCAACCGGGCAAUGCUUCUCCAUAAAACCAAGGCUCCACUCUCCCAGAUCUGCUUAAACUUCUGACAACAGAGAAAAUUAAAUAAUAUGGCCUUUUUUUUUUUUUAAAUUAACCCGUACAAAAAGCCAGUCCACACUGCUUCUCUCUCAGUAAAAUCACAUUCAGCAGUCGCUAAAACCAUUCUCUGGCAUAGUCAUCUGAAACACCCACAGGUACUGUGCAGGGUUGAAAAGAGUCGAAGAAGAAGAAGAAGGAGAGAAUCAUACAGGACAUCUUCCAUCUUAGAGAACACCAGAUAUACAGUAUUAAUCACACAUACAUACGCACUCACUGAUAGUCAUAUACAUACAUACAUCAUCAGAAAUUUAAAAAAAAAAGUAGAAAAUCAAAUCAAAUAAAAAUAUGACGGAGGCGAGUAGUUAUUUACCACAAACUCGGAGCACUACUUUUUUUGAUUCUGAACAAAUACAUAUUCACAUUUCUCUGUUAUAUACAUCAUGUUGACAUCUUGAAACCAACGUUACAAAAGAACCUAACCUGGUACCUGUUACCUGUAGUGACGACGGAGGGAGGGUAGUAAAGGAAGCAAAGGAGGGACUGUCGUUUCCACUGAAUGGCUGUUGCAUAUAAAACCUUGCGCUGGAUGUAUUUGGCAUAUAUUUUUCCUUCUAUUUUUCUUUAUUUGCAGGUUAAGCUGACAGCUGCUGCUGAGUUUCUGCACUGAACAGGGUUGGAGAGGAAACCACUUCCAUAGGAAUGCCUAUUCCAUGCAGGAAAGUGAAAGGAGGAAGGCUGACACUGACAGAAACCUUUCAGAAAGGUGCGUCCUCCCACUUUGUGCAACUUCUGCCGUCCAAACAGUGGCGCAGGACUGUCAGGCGACUGCAUUCAAAUAAUUCUCUAGAAAAUACUCCUCGAGGGGGUCUAAACGGGUUUUAAAAUCCUCUGAGGCUUGAGGCGGUGCGGGGCUGAGAUAUGUUGUUGCUUUCAGUUUCCAUUGAAUUUCUGAUUGAUAACAGUGGCAGAGAAGUGACUCAGUUUGGAGGUCAAACAUUCAAAUAAUUGAGCUGGAGCUCCUUACUACAGUAACCCACAAGGAUGAUCAUGAAUUCAGGCAUUUAUAAAAAGUCAUCAAUUAACUCCGUUCCUCCAGAAUCUGGGAAACUUUCUUGCCUUCUCCUGCUCUGACAAAGAGUUUGGAGGUAGUACAUUUUUAACUACUUGUGGACUGCGAUGCAGUUCAAAGGACCGAAAUAGGAAAAACUGUCAAAAGUUAGAUAAGUGGCACAUAAGGAAUUUGAAAUUUGGAACUUUUUUUGAUCAAUUACAUUAUUUACAAAACAAAAGCAACAAAAAUUUGCUGGUGAGUUUUUGCCACAUUUUGCCCCCACUGUUGUAUUUGGUACACUGCUUUAAUUUUACAUACAAGUUACUUUUAUUCCUUAUUCUGAGAAAAGUCCAUCAUAUAUAGGUUAGUAAAGUUGACGAUAACCAAGUACUAUGUUUGCUUCUUCUUGAUUUAUGAAAGAAGACUUGUUAGCAUGAUUUUAAAAUAAAUCCAUAGAAAAAUAGAAAUCCUCUCUAUACUGGAGGUGUUUUUGCAUUUACUUCCUGAGCCACUGUUUGGACGCACACUGCAUGAUUCUGCACGCAAAUAACGCGUCGAGACAGUCACACAGAGCGUUGCAGAUGAGCACAAAGUGGUUCUCACAUUAUUCAACACUUCAGAAGUUGGUGGGUGGAAUGUAGACCUUGCAUACUACCCCUCUUUUUCUGGGUAAAAUGUUGCAUACGGCAAAGUAUCUCUGUGAAAAAAAACACAGGAAAGAAGCCCUAUUCCACGCGACUGCAUCACCUACGUGAGCGACGGGUUCGGCAGAUUGAAGACUCGUUAGCUGGGUGGGGGGCGUGAGCUUUAUUUGAAACCUUCUCCACGGAUCGCGUCAAUUCUCCGAGUUUCCACGAGAGAAAGGAAGAGAAAUAAUAAACCGAGACCGGUUCAAUCAGGGAGCACCUGAUAUUUGUGCUGGCGUUGAGACGUGGCAGAUUUGACAGGAGGAAACUCGAAUGAUGCUCCCCGACAGAACGAGCCCUACUUUUGAAAAAAAGAACAGAAAAAGAAAAAAAAUAGAAAAGAAAAAGACCACUAAGUUUGGUUACACUCAUUCCAAAUGUCGUUUAGCAUCCUCUAAUUUAAACCUUUGGAUAAAGGGUGUCGGACUGGAGCAAAUUUAAAAAAAUCAUAUGCGUUAAGAGGUGCCUAAUCCACAUAUUACAUGUUUAUAGCUCUACAAUAUUUUAGUCAUGUAAAGAAUAUUAAGAGGCAACGUCUCAGCAGGGUUUUCUCCUUAAAUUUCCGGUAAGGUGUAAGUAGCACAUCUUAAGAUUUGAAUUUUUUUUGUCACGAGAGGUCUGUUAUCGCUGAGAGACACAGUGUCUGACUGAGCAACAGUAGUCAACAGAAAACUGUAUAUGAGUGUGUAGCCAGUGGAGUGAAGUCUUCAUCAGGGAAACCAGAGGUGAAAGGAGAAGAGGGUUGAAUCCCUCGUAAAAAACAUAAAACAAUAAAGAGAUUCCCAGGAGGUGAGGAGAAAAUGAAAAGAUGUUUUUGCAACUCUUCCUGUUUGGAUUCAAAUUCAUGACAGCUUUAAAUCAAUUAUCCAUCACAUCUUUGUUAGGAACUUCUAUCACUAAAGCCUCUACUUAAAUGUCAUUAUAUAGGAACAAUAUCCAAAAGCGUGCCGUUUGCUGCGGCUCACAGCAAAGAGCGCGGUUUCAGUUUAUCAUUAUGCUUUGUUUUUUUAUACAAUGGUUACAACACAUG
ensembl:lncRNA